CCUACGGGAGACAGCAGUGGGGAAUAUUGCGCAAUGAGCGAAAGCCUGACGCAGCGACGCCGCGUGUGGGAUGAAGGUCUUCGGAUCGUAAACCUCUGUCAGCAGGGAAGAACGGUCACUGUGCUAAUCAGCAGUGCAUUGACGGUACCUGCAACGGAAGCACCGGCUAACUCCGUGCCAGCAGCCGUGGUAAUACGGAGGGUGCGAGCGUUAAUCGGAAUUACUGGGCGUAAAGCGCUCGUAGGCGGUAUGUCAAGUCUAGGGUGAAAUCCCCGCGCUCAACGUGGGAACUGCCUUUGAAACUGGCAAACUGGAGUGUGUGAGAGGAUAGUGGAAUUCCAGGUGUAGGAGUGAAAGCCGUAGAUAUCUGGAGGAACAUCAGUGGCGAAGGCGACUAUCUGGCACAUAACUGACGCUGAGGAGCGAAAGCGUGGGUAGCAAACAGGAUUAGAUACCCUAGUAGUC
rnacentral:rRNA from 1 species